rnacentral:lncRNA from 1 species
CUUUUCUAGUGGGUGACUUUAGCUCCAGGCAUCUCCCUGGACCUUGUCAAAACCCUGCUGUCUGAGACUCUUCCUCCCCAAUCCUCCUUCGCCCUCACCUUUCACAGGUAUCAGAUCAGCAACUCAGUCUGAAGUUGAGUUCAUUCUGAAGCCUUCCCUGCCUAUUCCUACUUCCUCCUCUUAAUCCUUCAUGUGCAUCUCUCUCCUAAAAUCCUCUUGCACCUUGAAUUCCAUCUUGGCAUCUGCUUCUUGGAGGAUCUGAACCCACACUCUCUGAAGAAAAGAUGUAUGGUUAUUGUCCACCUGGACAGGCCCCAAAGUGACAGCCAGAAAUCUGCCUCCACCACCCCUUCUGCUGUUCCUGCCAUCAUAUUUAAUUGUGUUUGCUCAACUCGAAGCCAAACUCAUAUGCAGUAUAUUCAGAUGGUUAAAAUAGCACAGCACUGCGCUGUAUUCACAGAUUAUUUUCAACACCA